AUCCGAAAACGGCGAAGCCAUUUCCGAAACACCAGCCAAACCCUUCUCUAAACUCACUCGCUCUCUCUCUCUCUCCGACCCUGCGAGACCCGAGCGACCCCUCACUCUGCGACCAUGUUGCGCCGCGCCACAGCCCUCUUGACCCGACCUGUGAUCUCCCUCCGGGCCCGACCCUUCUCCACGGAUGUCUCAGAAAUUCCAGUAGCCGACACGUCGUUUUAUGAUGCUUGGAAGAAAGUGAUCCCAACCUUAGAGCCACCCCACACCCCAUUGACCUUCAUGAAGCCUCGGCCUCCAACUCCAUCUUCGAUCCCUACUAAGC
rnacentral:lncRNA from 1 species